AACCUGCAGGCCGCGUAAGGCAUUCGUCUUGGCGCCGUGACCGCGGAUGUACCGGCACGGCGCGACGAGACGACAAGGAGAGGUCGGGCCUUCGCCCGGCCUUUUUUUAU
rnacentral:sRNA from 1 species